CCUACGGGAGGCAGCAGUGGGGGAUAUUGGACAAUGGGCGAAAGCCUGAUCCAGCAACGCCGCGUGAGGGAUGACGGCCUUCGGGUUGUAAACCUCUUUCAGCAGGGACGAAGCGCAAGUGACGGUACCUGCAGAAGAAGCACCGGCCAACUACGUGCCAGCAGCCGCGGUAAU
rnacentral:rRNA from 1 species